rnacentral:rRNA from 1 species
UACAGAGGGGGCAAGCGUUGUCCGGAAUUAUUGGGCGUAAAGAGCUCGUAGGUGGCGUGUCGCGUCUGCCGUGAAAGCCCAUGGCUUAACUGUGGGUCUGCGGUGGAUACGGGCAGGCUGGAGGCUGGUAGGGGCAAGCGGAAUUCCUGGUGUAGCGGUGAAAUGCGCAGAUAUCAGGAGGAACACCGGUGGCGAAGGCGGCUUGCUGGGCCAGUUCUGACGCUGAGGAGCGAAAGCGUGGGGAGCGAACAGG